rnacentral:misc_RNA from 1 species
UGAAGCUUAAAAAUUGAAGAACAUAAAACCAGCAAACUUGCACAACAUACUGCACAACUUAUGCACUUUCACGCCAACCUUAUGCAGCUUCACGAAAGGAGCUUUCAAACUGUCGAAACUUAUACAACAUGCUGCACAGCUUGUGCAAGUCGAUUGUGCACCUUCACAGAAAAUUGUCAGGCAUGCAGAAACUUGCACUACCUCUUGCAUAGCUUGUACAGUUCGGUUGUGCACUUUCACAGAAGAACUCCAAACAUGUUGAAACCUGCCUGUGCACCUUCACGGGAAGCCUAUGGAGACCGCCAAAUGCACACAAGAUCCUGCAUAACCACUUGCACAGCCUGUGCAUACCCUCAUUAAAUUUUUGAAGGUAGAAUUUUCUCACAUA